GGAAAUGUGACAUUUACAUCAACAACAUACGGAUCAAGUGCUUCUCUUGUUUGCGAUACAGGAUACGAAACGACUAAGGCAACACUUAAUUGUCUUGACACUGGCAGUUGGGAAACAUCGACAUGUACCAUCAAAGAUUGUGGUUCUUCAUUGAGUGUAAGCAAUGGUAAUGUGACAUUUACAACAACAACAUAUGGAUCAAAUGCUUCCCUUGUUUGCGAUACUGGAUACGAAACAACUAAGGCAUCACUUGGUUGUCUUGAUACUGGCAGUUGGGAAACAUCGACAUGUACCAUCAAAGAUUGCGGUUCUUCUUUGAGUGUGAGUAAUGGAAAUGUGACAUUUACAACAACAACAUACGGAUCAAGUGCUUCUCUUGUUUGCGAUACUGGAUACGAAACAACUAAGGCAACAUUUAAUUGUCUUGAUACUGGCAGUUGGGAAACAUCGACAUGUACCA